AUCUGUUCAAACCACCAACCACCAUUAAUCACCAGGUAGAGGACUAGUGUCAGUCUCACCUCCGUCACUGGGGCAGAAGGAUCCGAGCAUGACAUAAUUAUGGUUAUACAUCAUGCACAGACGUCUUUGGACGUCCACACUAACAUAUAGCUGUUAGUGCGGGGGCGGGACUCAUGCUAGGAAUCAUGCUGGGACACAGAAGUAAAAAUAAAAGAAAAAGAAGUAAAAGAAAAAGGAAGUAGCAUGAAGUAAAAGACUGAACGUCGGUGCUUAUGGACCAUGUUCCUCAGUAACGAGGAUUCUGUCCCUCAGAUUUGGAUGUGACAUCUCUCUUCAUCCCAAAUCUCAGUGAGAUUGUGUCUUCAGCUCAUCAAAACUGUCAACUUGAUCCACAAAAUGACUUUGAGAAGAAAACCUUUGACAGCUGCAACUUUGAUGAUAAUAAUGAUGAAAGUCUUCAUUGGACAUUACCUCACAUGUCA